UGCGGGGUGGAGCGUUGGAACGCUCAUUAGGUUCAUGCCCUAACGUUCGCAGGUUCAAAUCCUGUCCCCGCAU
rnacentral:tRNA from 1 species